CCUAAGUGUAUUAUUUGCAGGUUGAGAUUUGAUUAUGAGAAAUGAAGAUAUCUACCUUAUAACAUAGUUUAAAGGCAAAAUAGUCUAAUAUAUACACAAACACAUAUAGAGGCAAGAUGAAGUAAAAAUGGUAGCUGUGGUUGUUCUGAGAAUGAUUAUAAAACAGAAUUUGUAGAAAGAGACAUAUUGUUAAGAGGCUUAUAUAACUUACAUAAGACAAAAAUUAUAUUAGCCAAAUUACAUUUAGUAACUUUGUUGUAUAAACAUAGAAGAGCAGAAGCAAUCAAAUCUAGUAUGCAGAUUUUCCAUGAGUCAGGUUAUGACAUCCUAAUUCUUUCAUCUGCACAAGAUAAUUAGACCUGCCUCCAGGACCACACAGAUGGAGACAGUGGAAGGGCACCCUUGAUCCAAGCUGCUAAGGGAUCUUCAAUAUGUCUGCCACUGCUUCCUGCUAUUAGCAGCUGGAGAAUGACAGGAUGAGAGGCAAAGACACAAGAGAGUUGGGACUUAAGAAGAUAUUUCACCUGAAUAAUCAUGGAAUAUAAAAAUGCAAUAAAUAUGCUAUGAAUAUACUAUUUUGCAUGAUGCGAUUGUGUUGAUAAGAAUUC
rnacentral:lncRNA from 1 species